rnacentral:tRNA from 1 species
GGACUCUUAGCUCAGUUGGUUAGAGCGCUUCAUUCACAUUGAAGAGGUCGGAAGUUCGAGUCUUCUAGAGUCCA